UACGGAGGAUCCGAGCGUUAUCCGGAUUUAUUGGGUUUAAAGGGUGCGUAGGCGGUUUGAUAAGUUAGAGGUGAAAUGUCGGGGCUCAACCCCGAAACUGCCUCUAAUACUGUUGGACUAGAGAAUAGUUGCGGUAGGCGGAAUGUAUGGUGUAGCGGUGAAAUGCUUAGAGAUCAUACAGAACACCGAUUGCGAAGGCAGCUUACUAAACUAUAUCUGACGUUGGGGCACGAAAGCGUGGGUAGCAAACAGG
rnacentral:rRNA from 1 species